AACAGCACUGUAAGUGCUCAGAUAGUAAAUAAAAAUAACCAUGCUUUCAUUUUCCUUGAAGUAAGAACCAACCCAGAAAUCUUGUCUCUCCCUUGGAGCAAGGAAGCUAAUGGGAACAGUUCUCUUUCACAAAUGGCAGAUGUGAUGAGAAGCAUGCCGACUUACGUCCUGCAGCUCAUUCUGAAUGUUUGUUUUCAGCAAUCAAAAUAUAGAAGAGGACAUUUCCUGACUUUCUGCCAAGGGAUUUGCUCUAAAUUGUGCCUUUUAAAUAAAAUAUCCCACACGGAAUCGUGUACACUACCAAUCUGAAAAAUGAAUGCAGAACAGAGGGUUUUUUUUUCUACUGAACAACAUUUAUGUAAUGCCCACUUGACCUGAUUUGCUUCUUGCAAUGAAAAUUGCUGUGGCAUACAUACUUUGCAUUCAG
rnacentral:lncRNA from 1 species